rnacentral:rRNA from 1 species
UACAGAGGGUGCGAGCGUUGUUCGGAAUUAUUGGGCGUAAAGGGCGCGUAGGCGGCUGUACAAGUCAAAGGUGAAAUCCCUCGGCUCAACUGAGGAACUGCCUUUGAAGCUGUACGCUUGAGGCCGGGAGGGGGUAGCGGAAUUCCCAAUGUAGCGGUGAAAUGCGUAGAUAUUGGGAGGAACACCAGUGGCGAAGGCGGCUACCUGGACCGGUUCUGACGCUGAGGCGCGAAAGCGUGGGUAGCAAACAGG